rnacentral:lncRNA from 1 species
GGUGAUACAAGAGAUUCUGUUGGUUGUUCAGAGAUGUUGAGAGAUCAACCAGGAGACUGUGGGAGGAUGUGAGCUCUCUGAGGGAACUUGCAGAUGUUGUGGGAAGACUGUUAACAGUCAAUGGAAUUGGCAGUCAAGAGAAGUUUAACUGAAUCUCUGAGUGGCAAGAGUCAGGAGAGGUUUAACUGAAUAUAGGAGGAGAAGAAGUAUUUACAUUAGAAGUCUGAUUCACAGGUCGGGGCAAAGUGAAAAACAUCUGCACUUUUAAAAGGGAGGUCAAAAGUCCGUCUGACUCACCUGUGCUGAGUGACUUGAAUGCCAUCUAAUCUAACUUCAAGGUCAUCAGGAUACUUGCCAACAAGGUCACAGUGGACUCCAUGGAGCAACUGCCCUCAGGAGGCAACAGGUGGCUUCACUUGCUUAUUGGCUGAAGGUCUGCAAGGACUCAAUUCACAUAUCUGAUCAUACCUGGAGUCCAGACUUUCUCCUGAUGCCUGGCCCCUUUGCCAUUAGGUCGGCUCCGUAUGACUGAGUUCUAGCCAGUGAGGUAUGGGCAGAAGUGAUGUGUACCAAUUGCGAGCUCGACUUUUGAAAUCAUCCCACGUGAUCCUCCUGCCAUCUACCAGCCAUCCUUUUUGAUCUUGAAGGUCUUAUGCCUCAGAUUGUGUAACUACAGGAUGAAGGAAGGCCACUCAACCCACACUUGGACAUGAUGUAAGCAAGAAAUAAACUUGUAAUGUAUUAAGCCACUAAGAGGACUAGACAGCUAGAAGCCAUCAGGUUCUUUUUGAGGGGAGUCUCUCUGAUGCUUGGAAUGAAUCCUGCUGAAUCAAUGCUGAUGCUUGGAGAUCUUCAAGUCUUUUCCCUUUUUCCCAUUGCUCAUGAUGUCUAUAUAACCUCCAAACAUGCAUCCCACUCCUCUGCCGAAAGACCAUUUUUUUAUAUCUUCAGUGAUGGUCUAGGCCAGGUCACAGUGUUUGGACACCGCAUGAACAUGCCAAUUUCCUGUGUUGUAAUAUUUUUAUGCACUUUAAGAAGACCACCAGAAACAGCAGAGUGAGGCGCAUAUUGGACAAAAAUCACUUAUCCAAGACCACGUUACUACAACCCCAGGGCACAGAAGCUAAGUCUUCCUAUUGUACUGAACUCAGUUGACUGGAAUUUGUUCAGGAAAGCAUGAAGUCAAAUGGAAGCUAGUCCGUAAUUUGACUCAUUGGGCCUGCAAAAGAUUUUCGUGACAAAUGAAAUAUUUUUCUAAACCAAGGACUUGGGGAUAACUUCAGGGUCAAAGACAUCUUAUCAUAUUUAAGGUCCAUCUGAUGACUUGCUCUGAAUCUUCACUUCCUGGGCAGGUGAGGAAACAUGAUGUUCAGAAAGGUAUAUGACUUGAUCAAGAACCCACAACCAGGCAAUGAGAGGAAUAUGAGGCAAAAUCCAAUCUACUUGAUUCCACAGGCUCUGAGUAUAGAUGAGGCAAACUUCACAUGGAAAAGAAGCCAUAUUUUGAAAAAACUACACGGAAUCAAAGAGAACUAACUCAAAGAAGCAAAAUUUUGGAGAUAAAACAAGGACCAUUCAGAAUCUGGACAUAUAAUAUGUUUAUGGCAUUUAACCUAGUCAGACAGUAGAUAUUGCUCGAAGAUGUUCCAGGAUUACUUCAUGCUGUCCAGGUCCUAGACAUGGAAUCGUUUGCUUCUUCAAAAGUCUGGAUCCCUUUAAGAUACGAAAUGUAUUUAGAA